AGAGUUUGAUCAUGGCUCAGGAUAAACGCUGGCGGCAGGCCUAACACAUGCAAGUCGAGCGCCCAGCAAUGGGAGCGGCGGACGGGUGAGUAACGCGUGGGAAUUUUUCCUGGAGUACGGAACAACCGAGGGAAACUUCGGCUAAUACCGUAUGAUGCCGAGAGGCCAAAGAUUUAUCGCUCUGGGGUGAGCCCGCGUCAGAUUAGGUAGUUGGUGGGGUAAUGGCCUACCAAGCCUGCGAUCUGUAGCUGGUCUGAGAGGACGAUCAGCCACACUGGGACUGAGACACGGCCCAGACUCCUACGGGAGGCAGCAGUGGGGAAUCUUGCGCAAUGGGCGAAAGCCUGACGCAGCCAUGCCGCGUGAGUGAAGAAGGUCUUAGGAUUGUAAAGCUCUUUCGCUCGUGACGAUGAUGACGGUAACGAGAGAAGAAGCCCCGGCUAACUUCGUGCCAGCAGCCGCGGUAAUACGAAGGGGGCUAGCGUUGUUCGGAAUUACUGGGCGUAAAGCGCGCGUAGGCGGUUUUGCAAGCCAGAGGUGAAAUGCCUGAGCUCAACUCAGGAAUGGCCUUUGGGACUGCGAGGCUUUGAGGACUGGAGAGGUGAGUGGAAUUCCCAGUGUAGAGGUGAAAUUCGUAGAUAUUGGGAAGAACACCGGUGGCGAAGGCGGCUCACUGGCCAGUUUCUGNNGCUGUAGCGCGAAAGCGUGGGGAUCAAACAGGAUUAGAUACCCUAGUAGUCC
rnacentral:rRNA from 1 species